GCCUGGGUAGCUCAGUCGGUUAAGCAUCUGACUUCAGCUCAGAUCAUGAUCUCGGGGUCCUGGGAUCAAGUCCCCCCACAGGUU
rnacentral:tRNA from 1 species